ensembl:lncRNA
GUUCACGUGAGUUGUAAUGGCAGAGGGAGUAGUUCACUGCACACAACAGUGGGCAAUAGCAGGGAAUAGAUGUAACCACAUUAGCUAAAAGAAUUGCUUCAUAUUACAAUAAUGUGACAUAGAGCUUGUGCUAACCAUUCCGUAUUUAACACCACUGCCAGAUCCUUGCAGACCAAUAUGAACUAUACUACAUAAUGCCACGAGAACAGCUAACAAAAAUUAGAUUUCAUUAGACCGCCACCGAAAGUGGUUCAGGCAAUGGCUUACAGGAGAAAUGGGGAUUUGAAAAAGGUUAUAGUUCAGGUCAGUAUCUGUGGUUUAAUAUCAAGGCGAAAGUGGGCAUUUAACUUUCAAAUACAUACAUAAUUAAACCCAUUUUCUUUACUGACAUCAAUGAUUGAGGUUCCCGAGGUGAAAUCAGAUUUUGAAUGGCAGAUUUAUUAUAUAUACAUGUACACAUUGUAAAUUAGCUGUAAUGGAAAUAGUCCAGUAUAGAAACUAUGCAUGUACUAAAGCCAUCCGCCACAGAGAGAGAAUCACAACCCUGAUUUUCACCUACCAUUCACCCAGCCCAUAAAGCUGACAGACUGAGACAAUACAGCUACUGGCGUCUGUGCUGGGAUAAUAGAGAAUGGCCAGUAGCUGGCGGUAAUAUUGUUGGAUAAAUGAUUAUUGAUUAGAUAAAGGUUGAGAUAAUCAUUAGCCUUUAUCCAUUUCACUCAGUGUCUCUGACCUUUCUGCCUCUCUCUCUCCCUUCGUACUGGAGUUCAUAUCUGUAUGACGAUAUGAUCAUCUGUGUCACACACACACGAAUAUGGGUUAGAGAGAAUGAGGAGGAGUGAGAGAGUAAGAGGCUGGGAGAGGAGGAAAUGACAAGUGUUUUACUGUCUGUGGGAUGUGUUUGAUUAUUUAGAUUCUCUCUUUCGCUGUUUUUUCCACUGAUACUGUAUGGGGUCCUAUCCAUUAUUUUUAUUGAUUUAAUUCUUGCCAUUCUAACACAAGUAUUGUUUACUUAAUUACACUAGGGUCUGAGUGUGUGCGUGAGAGAAAGAAGACUUGGAUGCUGAAAGCACUUGACAUGUACUCACCAAAGCAAACAGAUCCAUAAUAAAUCCACUGGGGACACUAUAACAUCUUUGUAUCCAGUGUUUGUGCACAUUUGUGUGCAUGAAAGACAUAGAGAGAGAAUUCUAAUUUCAAUUUAAAAUCUAAUUUAAACCUGUAAAAAAAUAUAUAUAUAUAUAUAUAUAUUUUUAUGACACAUUAUGACAUAAAAUGGCUAUUUGACUGUGCUAUUUCUUGGUCAAAUCACGCUGGAGAACAUGAUUGUCAGGUUUUACAAUGACUUGUGGAGUUCAUGUAGAAGAAAAAAAAAAUCAUUUUAAUUUGUUAAAUUAAACUUUUCACUCUAAUAGUUACAUUUAUAUGACUUGACACAAAAAAUGGCUUUCAAAUGCUAAAUAAGUACAAAACUUGGUUACAUUUUACUUCAUGGUGUCCUUUUUACAGUGUUGUUAUACAAUUAACAAUUGUCUAACAUUUAGCAACAACAUGCACUUAUAGAGUUAGUGUUUUGCUUAGGAUUAGUUACAUGCAGUUAUGCAUAAUUUACUGUUAAAAUUACUAUAAGUAGCCUACAUAUAACGUGUAACAAGGACAGUAAAAUAUAGUGUCACUAAAAAAAUAAAAAAGAACAAUUUAGAAAUUGCUCCACUAGUACUGUAUUUUAUGUAUUUAACUUGUAUUUCAUGUAUUUAAUUUUUAUUUACAUUUAUUAUCAUUUAUGUAUCAUAUUUUGAAAACAUGAACUCUGUUAUGAAUCUUCAUAAUUUCCUGUAAUUCAAAUGACAUAAAUUUUCUUUCUUUCUUUCUUUCUUUCUUUCUUUCUUUCUUUCUUUCUUUCUUUCUUUCUUUCUUUCUUUCUUUCUUUUCUAAAUCUACUUAAAAUUUUACACUAUUUGUAUGUUUAUUUUUAAGUGUUUGUGUGAAAAAGAAGAGCGUGGAAGCACUCGGGCUGCAUUAUAACACAUUCGACUAUAGUUCCUAUGGCGGCUUUAUUUAUUGAAUUACUCUGAAUUUCCCUCUUAAUAGCCAGUUAAGCGGCAACAGACCCUGGCUAACAUCUGGCUGCAAUCAGUAGAGGAAAUCCGCUUCUUUGCCUUUUGUUCUAUUUAUUCACAAACCCAUGCUGGAAUUGCGAUGUUUAUUUAAAGUAAUACUGCCCGUACAACUACUGUACAGAGAGACAUUUGGAGAAUUACUUUUC